GCCCCUAUAGUUUAAUGGCUAAAAUACAUGAUUUCUACUCUUGAGCUUCGGGUUCGACUCCCGAUGGGGGCU
rnacentral:tRNA from 1 species